GGGUUGUGAGGUUAAGCGACUAAGCGUACACGGUGGAUGCCCUGGCAGUCAGAGGCGAUGAAGGACGUGCUAAUCUGCGAAAAGCGUCGGUAAGGUGAUAUGAACCGUUACAGCCGGCGAUGUCCGAAUGGGGAAACCCAGUGUGAUUCGUCACACUAUCGUUAACUGAAUACAUAGGUUAACGAGGCGAACCGGGGGAACUGAAACAUC
rnacentral:rRNA from 1 species